rnacentral:sRNA from 1 species
CCCUAGGGAAGGCGCAGCGGGGCGGACUCCCGGGCCUCCUCCCGCCUCUUCCACAGGUUGCAUCCGCGGCUGCAGGAAAACGGAUGGCUGGGAAUGGCCGUCGGGGGUUGGUCAGAGGAAGUCCCUCGGCCCUUUCCGAGGCACAUCUCUUGGCCAUCCACGCGUCCUUCGCAGACUCCGCUCCCUGCACCUCCGUUUCCUCUUCUGUGGCCGGCGGCUCCCCCGUGGCCACCCCAUCUCCCAUCUCUGCCACCUCCCAACAGCCAUUUCCACUCCUGCGGCCCCAUCCCAGCUAAGGAGAGCGCCCUUCUGAUUGGCAGGUGGGCCUGUCUGUCACGGGCAUGUUCCAUCCCACCCAAGCCCAAGGACACUCCAGGGUUUCCUUAGUUUCACAACCAAGGUGCGUGCUCAGCGGACUCUGCAGACCCAGUGCCGCGACUUCCCCUAAAGCCAGGCGUGUAUCUGCGCGUGUGAGGUGCUCUGCCGCAACCCUAUGCAGAGAGCAGGGUCUCACUCUGUUACCCAGGCUGGAGUGCAGUGGAGUGAUUAUAGCUUACUGCAGCCUUGACCUUCUGGGCUCAAGAGAUCCUCCCACCAUCACGAGGUCAGGAGAUCGAGACCAUCUUGGCUAAGAAGAGACUGUGUCUCACUGUGUUGCCCAGGCUGGCUUCACUCAAGCGAUCCUCUCGCCGCAGUCCCUGGAGUAGCUAGGAUUACAGGCACCCGCCACCACUCUCGGCCCCAUUUCUCUUAUUAAAAAAAAAAAAAAAAAAAUUGCCAUGAAAUACGCAUAUCGAAAUGUACCAUCUUCACCAUUUUUAAGGGUAAGAUUAGGUGGUGUUAGGUAUGUUCACUUGUCGUGCAACCAGAUUGCUGUUUUAAAUAACAGCACUUAGAGAUGCCGACUUCGUGCCAGGCCCAGUUUGGGACAUUAGAGACUCCCAGAUGAAUCAGCCGCUCCAGUGGAACUCCCUGCUGGUGGGGGAGGCACUGGCGAAGCGGUGCUGAGCGAGCGGAGUCCUGACGGCGCUGGAGCUGAGGGGCAGUGCGGGAUGCCCC